rnacentral:rRNA from 1 species
UGAGGAAUUUUGCGCAAUGGCCGCAAGGCUGACGCAGCAACGCCGCGUGGGUGAUGAAGGCCUUCGGGUCGUAAAGCCCUGUCAGGUGGGAAGAAAAGGCUGAUGACGAAGAGUCAUUGGUUUUGACGGUACCACCAGAGGAAGCACCGGCUAACUCCGUGCCAGCAGCCGCGGUAAUACGGAGGGUGCGAGCGUUAUUCGGAAUUACUGGGCGUAAAGCGCGUGUAGGCGGGGGAGCAAGUCUGAUGUGAAAGCCCUGGGCUUAACCUGGGAAGUGCAUUGGAAACUGCUUUUCUUGAGUACUGGAGAGGAAGGGGGAAUUCCCGGUGUAGAGGUGAAAUUCGUAGAGAUCGGGAGGAAUACCAGUGGCGUAGGCGCCCUUCUGGACGGUUACUGACGCUGAGACGCGAAAGCGUGGGGAGCAAACAGG